rnacentral:rRNA from 1 species
AUUGAACGCUGGCGGAAUGCUUUACACAUGCAAGUCGAGCGGCAGCGCGGGGGCAACCCUGGCGGCGAGCGGCGAACGGGUGAGUAACAUAUCGGAACGUACCCCGUCGUGGGGGAUAACACAGCGAAAGCUGUGCUAAUACCGCAUACGACCUGAGGGUGAAAGCGGGGGAUCGCAAGACCUCGCGCGAUGGGAGCGGCCGAUAUCGGAUUAGCUUGUUGGUGAGGUAAAGGCUCACCAAGGCGACGAUCCGUAGCUGGUCUGAGAGGACGACCAGCCACACUGGAACUGCGACACGGUCCAGACUCCUACGGGAGGCAGCAGUGGGGAAUUUUGGACAAUGGGGGCAACCCUGAUCCAGCCAUUCCGCGUGAGUGAAGAAGGCCUUCGGGUUGUAAAGCUCUUUCAGCAGGAACGAAACGGUGGCCACUAAUACUGGCUACUAAUGACGGUACCUGAAGAAGAAGCACCGGCUAACUACGUGCCAGCAGCCGCGGUAACAC